UACGAAGGGGGCUAGCGUUGCUCGGAAUCACUGGGCGUAAAGGGUGCGUAGGCGGGUCUUUAAGUCAGGGGUGAAAUCCUGGAGCUCAACUCCAGAACUGCCUUUGAUACUGAGGAUCUUGAGUUCGGGAGAGGUGAGUGGAACUGCGAGUGUAGAGGUGAAAUUCGUAGAUAUUCGCAAGAACACCAGUGGCGAAGGCGGCUCACUGGCCCGAUAGUGACGCUGAGGCACGAAAGCGUGGGGAGCAAACAGG
rnacentral:rRNA from 1 species